rnacentral:rRNA from 1 species
GUGAAAUUGUUGAAAGGGAAACGAUUGAAGUCAGACUUGCAGUCAUCAAUUCAGCGUUUUAACAUUUUAUGUUUCCGUGUAAUUUGGUUUCUGUUGGUUCGCAUCCAUUUUGAUUGUUAUAAAAAGGUUAAGGGGAUGUGGCUCCUUCGGGAGUGUUAUAACCCUUAGCUUAAUGUGACGAUUAGGAUUGAGGUUUGCAACGCAUACCUUUUAGGGCCGUUUCACCUGGCCUCUCGUGGAAUUAUAGAUAGGUAAGAGCAUGCUCUUACUGCCUAUGAGUCUACGAAAAGGUUAGAGUGUAAAACUAAUUCGUUAAGGAUGCUGACGUAAUGGCUUUAAACGAC